rnacentral:ribozyme from 1 species
AAAUCAAAGGAAAGAGCCCUAAAGAAAAGAAAAACAUUGCAGCAGGGAGAAACACCACACACAUUGAUUUCUCUUUCCCUUGCUAUCCCUUUUUUGUUCGUUCUUUUAUUUUG